rnacentral:rRNA from 1 species
UACGGGGGGGGUAAGCGUUGUUCGGAAUUACUGGGCGUAAAGGGCUCGUAGGCGGCCAACUAAGUCAUACGUGAAAUCCCUCAGCUUAACUGGGGAACUGCGUGUGAUACUGGAUGGCUUGGAUUUGGGAGAGGGAUGCAGAAUUCCAGGUGUAGCGGUGAAAUGCGUAGAUAUCUGGAGGAACACCGGUGGCGAAGGCGGCAUCCUGGACCAACACUGACACUGAGGAGCGAAAGCCAGGGGAGCAAACGGG